rnacentral:rRNA from 1 species
AAUGAACGCUGGCGGCAGGCCUAACACAUGCAAGUCGAACGAGUGGCGGACGGGUGAGUAAGGUCUGGGAAACUGCCUGACGGAGGGGGAUAAGUACUGGAAACGGUAGCUACUACCGCAUACGAUCCGAUGUGCCGAGAUUGGAUUAGCGUGUUGGUGGGGUAACGGCUCACCAAGGCGACGAGCCCUAGCUGGUCUGAGAGGAUGAACAGCCACACUUGAACUGAGACACGGUCCAGACUCCUACGGGAGGCAGCAGUGGGGAAUAUUGCACAAUGGGCGCAAGCCUGAUGCAGCCAUGCCGCGUGUAUGAAGAAGGCCUUCGGGUUGUAAAGUACUUUCGGCGGGGAGGCGUUACCCGCCGAAGAAGCACCGGCUAACUCCGUGCCAGCAGCCGCGGUAAUUC